AUACUGACCUAGAGAUAACUUGAUCAGGAAGAUAGGAUUCCCUAGCAAACUUUAUCAAUUGCUCUCCAGAUGUGCUGACCCUGUGCUUUUCUCAAAUGUGGGAAACUCAACUAAUUUGUGGUAGUGGGAGACAAGAAAAACCCAA
rnacentral:snRNA from 10 species